UAUUUGUUGCUGUGGCUCCCUCCUGUUCCUAUGUGUACAUGUAUGUGUUUUGCAGUGACAAUGGUAGUUUCAGGCUGUACAUGAUUGUUCCCAUAAGAGCGAGCUCUGCAGUCUCUUAAAUCCGCCACAUGUGGUUCCUAGUCAUUUGAAUCUUCUUCCCACAGUCAAAUGCAGAAAGCUUAUAUUUGUUUUUCUUCCAUAGUAAUGAACACUGCCUUUCUGGUAUCUUGGAGUGAAUUAGAAUGAGAAACAAAGCAGUUUCACCUCCCAGACCUUAAUCCUCUUAAGUUCUCUCUUGGUUUGCAAAAGUGACCAUGCAUCAAAGAAGCUAAAUAAAUGGCUAUCUAAAGGGCUCCUUUGCUGUUUGGAACUAAUUGACAGCCCACAACAAUGCAAACAUGAGUCAUUGCCUCAUAAGUGAGAUAAAAUGGGAGAUGUCUCUUUUAUGAUGGUACUUGCUAUGCUAUUGCACAUACGUGCAUCAUCUGAAAAUUAGGAGAAUAUACUUACGGCUUCAUAGCCAUUUGAAACGUAUGCAAACGUAACUGGUGGAUAUAAUCAUAUGAUUUAGUCAAUGAGUUGACUAAGAUUUAUUUAAUCUGGUUGUAUCCCUGCAAAUAAACAGUCAUUACAGAUAAAAACAAGAAUCGCU